GGCUCGGUAGCAUAGUUGGUAAAGCGCUCGUCUAGCAUACAAGAGCCUUGGGUUCGAAUCUCAGCCGAGCAC
rfam:Aedes aegypti strain Liverpool supercont1.278 genomic scaffold, whole genome shotgun sequence.